CAAUAGCGUAUAUUAAAGCUGUUGCGGUUAAAAAGCUCGUAGUUGGAUUUCUGUCAAGGACAACUGGUCCGCCCCUCGGGUGAGCACAUAGUUUGGUCUUGGCAUCUUGUUGGAAACUGUUGCUGCACUUGGUUGUGUGGCGCAGUGUCCAGCACUUUCACUUUGAGGAAAUUGGAGUGUUUCAAGCAGGCACAUGCCUUUGGACACAGUAGCAUGGAAUAAUUAGAGUGGGCUUUUGCUCCAACUUGUCGGUUUCUGGAGCUGAGGUGAGAAUUAAUGGGGAUUGUUGGGGGCAUCCGAAUUUAGCCGUCAGAGGUGAAAUUCUUGGAUCUGCUAAAGACGGACAACUGCGAAAGCGUUUGCCCAGGAUGUUUUCAUUGA
rnacentral:rRNA from 1 species